UCAUUUAGUUGGCGAGUAAUUAACACUUCUAGCUGCUUCUUUUUUCUUCUCCCGUUGUCAUGGUGAAUCGCGUUAUUCGCGUUCGAUUGAUGACGGCUACUUUCUAUGCUCGCGCUUAUCUCGGGGGUAACUGCUCUGAAACCGACAACUCAAGAGUUUCAUAGAGUUGAGGUGGAACUCUGCCCGCAUCUGGUUGAGGUUCGGCGGAGCUCAUUGGGGAGUGAGGCGCAAGUUGAGGACAGGAGGUGUGCGACACGACGGAGCCAAUACCGAGACGGCUACGGAGUGGAACGGAGAGGUUCCUUCUCCUGGAUUUGACUGGCAUGAUUCCAGUCCUGUAAUUGAAAAUGGAGAACAAUCUUAUCCUGGACUUGGGACCCCUCGGCUGAUGUUAUUGGGGUUUAAGGCGGCAUUUUGUCGUAGAGUUUUGAAAACAAAGUGAUUUAUUCCUUUUGUGUUCCCGCUGGGAAUAAAUGUAUUUAAUCAAACCUAAA